rnacentral:rRNA from 1 species
GUUCCACGCUGUCGGUUCGCCGCCCGUCGGUGUCAACUGGCAUGUCCUGUGGAACGUCCUGCCGGUGGCGGUCCGGGCUUUCGGCUUGCGUAAGGGCUCACGCCCGAAGCAGGCCGAACAGUACCGGCCGCCGGUCCAAUCCCGCCACGGUGCUCUUCACCGAGUGUCGAGGUGGGCCGGCACGUUUACUUUGAACAAAUUAGAGUGCUUAAAGCAGGCUGGUGUCCGCCUGAAUACUGUGUGCAUGGAAUAAUAGAAUAGGACCUCGGUUCUAUUUUGUUGGUUUUCGGAACCCGAGGUAAUGAUUAAUAGGGACAGGCGGGGGCAUUCGUAUUGCGACGUUAGAGGUGAAAUUCUUGGAUCGUCGCAAGACGAACCUAAGCGAAAGCAUUUGCCAAGUAUGUUCUCGUUAAUCAAGAACGAAAGUUAGAGGUUCGAAGGCGAUCAGAUACCGCCCUAGUUCUAACCAUAAACGAUGCCAGCCAGCGAUCCGCCGAAGUUCCUCCGAUGACUCGGCGGGCAGCUUCCGGGAAACCAAAGCUUUUGGGUUCCGGGGGAAGUAUGGUUGCAAAGCUGAAACUUAAAGGAAUUGACGGAAGGGCACCACCAGGAGUGGAGCCUGCGGCUUAAUUUGACUCAACACGGGAAACCUCACCAGGCCCGGACACCGGAAGGAUUGACAGAUUGAGAGCUCUUUCUUGAUUCGGUGGGUGGUGGUGCAUGGCCGUUCUUAG